ensembl:lncRNA
GUGAGUUACAAACAUGCACAGUGUCACGUAGGUGAUGAGUGUUUUGUGUGUCUCUUUAUUGCGGUGACUUGUUUUGAUCACUUGUAUGUUUGAUUGAUUGCUUUGUGACACAUUGAAGACAUUGGACUUUGAUCAUUUACUCAUAUGUGUCUUUUAUUUGUUUCAGGAGGUUCACAGAGAUGAGUUGCAACAAGAAAACGUUAUGCAUGGUGUCAGAGAUUUGCCGUAGAAGCAGAGCUUCUUCUUCUUCUUCUUCUUCUUCUUCUUCUUCUUCUUCUUCUUCUUCUUCUUCUUCUUCUUCUUCUUCUUCUUCUUCUUCUUCUUCUUCUUCUUCUUCUUCUUCUUCUUCUUCUUCUUCUUCUUCUUCUUCUUCUUCUUCUUCUUCUUCUUCUUCUUCUUCUUCUUCUUCUUAAUGGAAUUUCACCUAAAUAAAAAAAAAAAAAAAAAAAAAGAGUCCAAACUGCAUUGUCGUCAAUUUUUCUGAAAAACAAAGAGGAAAGUGUGAAGAGAGAGAAAAGUAGGAAAGAGGAAAAGAGUAAAGUGUGAGAAAAAAGCAAAGAGAGAAGAGAGGAAAAAGAAGAAAGUUUAAGGAAAGAACAAAGAGAAAAAGAACAAAGUGUGAGGAAAGAGGAUAGAGGAAAAAAGACUAAGGGAUAGAGGAAAAAAAGACUAAGUGUGAGAGAAAAGGGGAUAGAGGAAAAAAAGACUAAGUGUGAGAAAAAAGGGGAUAGAGGAAAAAAGACUAAGUGAGAGAAAAGGGGAUAGAGGAAAAAAAGACUAAGUGUGAGAGGAAAAAAAGACUAAGUGUGAGAGGAAAAAAGACUAAGGAAAGAGUGAGGAAAGAGGAAAAAGAACAAAGUGCUGCUUUACUCUUGUGUUUGAUUGUUUCAGAUGCUGAGAGAUCAAGCGGUGGACGUUCAUAGAGGAGAGAUCCUGAGAGAUCAAGUGGUGGACGUCCAGAGAGGAGAGAUCCUGAGAGAUCAAGUGGUGGACGUCCAGAGAGGAGAGGUGAGUUACACAUUGUCACACAUUGCUGCUUUAUUCAUGUGUUUGAUUGUUUCAGAUGCUGAGAGACCAAGUGGUGGACGUCCAGAGAGGAGAGGUGAGUUAGAAACAUGCACAUUGUCAAUCAUUGUGGACAGUAGACUUUGUUCUUUUACUCAUGUGUUUCUUGUGUUUGAUUGUUUCAGAUGCUGAGAGAUCAAGUGGUGGACGUCCAGAGAGGAGAGAUGCUGAGAGAUCAAGUGGUGGACGUCCAGAGAGGAGAGGUGAGUUACAAACAUGCACAGUGUCACGUAGGUGAUGAGUGUUUUGUGUGUCUCUUUAUUGCGGUGACUUGUUUUGAUCACUUGUAUGUUUGAUUGAUUGCUUUGUGACACAUUGAAGACAUUGGACUUUGAUCAUUUACUCAUAUGUGUCUUUUAUUUGUUUCAGGAGGUUCACAGAGAUGAGUUGCAACAAGAAAACGUUAUGCAUGGUGUCAGAGAUUUGCCGUAGAAGCAGAGCUUCUUCUUCUUCUUCUUCUUCUUCUUCUUCUUCUUCUUCUUCUUCUUCUUCUUCUUCUUCUUCUUCUUCUUCUUCUUCUUCUUCUUCUUCUUCUUCUUCUUCUUCUUCUUCUUCUUCUUCUUCUUCUUCUUCUUCUUCUUCUUC